UACGUAGGGUGCAAGCGUUAAUCGGAAUUACUGGGCGUAAAGCGUGCGCAGGCGGUGAUGUAAGACAGAUGUGAAAUCCCCGGGCUCAACCUGGGAACUGCAUUUGUGACUGCAUCGCUGGAGUGCGGCAGAGGGGGAUGGAAUUCCGCGUGCAGCAGUGAAAUGCGUAGAUAUGCGGAGGAACACCGAUGGCGAAGGCAAUCCCCUGGGCCUGCACUGACGCUCAUGCACGAAAGCUUGGGGAGCAAACAGG
rnacentral:rRNA from 1 species